GUAUUUCAUUGCGUUAAACGCGACAUACAUUCCAUUAGACUUUAUUUCGGUGUGUGUGUAAAGACAUAGAACCACAGCAGGAGGACAGGGCCCCCCAGGCCAUAGAACUACAGAGGGUGCACAGGUGUGAGUGGAUGUGCAAACAGAGUGUGCACAUGCCCCCGUUUGAGGACCAGCAACAACUCGUGUUGACAAUUCAGUAAUGAUCCUUCCGCAGGUUCACCUACGGAAA
rnacentral:misc_RNA from 1 species